UUAGAGCGCCAGAUUGUGGCUCUGGAGGUCGUGAGUUCGACUCUCAUUAUCCACCCCA
rnacentral:tRNA from 1 species